rnacentral:rRNA from 1 species
GACGAACGCUGGCGGCGUGCCUAACACAUGCAAGUCGAACGAGAUCCAUGGGAGCUUGCUCCCGGAAGAUCUAGUGGCGAACGGGUGAGUAACACGUGAGAAACCUGCCCUGGAGUGGGGAAUAACUCGGGGAAACUCGAGCUAAUACCGCAUACCCUCGGAUGGUCGCAUGGCCGACCGAGGAAAGAUUUAUCGCUCUAGGAGGGUCUCGCGGCCUAUCAGCUAGUUGGUGGGGUAACGCCUACCAAGGCAACGACGGGUAGCUGGUUUGAGAGAACGAUCAGCCACACUGGGACUGAGACACGGCCCAGACUCCUACGGGAGGCAGCAGUGGGGAAUCUUGCGCAAUGGGCGAAAGCCUGACGCAGCAACGCCGCGUGCGGGAUGAACGGCCUUCGUGGUUGUAAACCGCUUUC